rnacentral:rRNA from 1 species
AUUGAACGCUGGCGGCAGGCCUAACACAUGCAAGUCGAACGAGUGGUGGACGGGUGAGUAAUGUCUGGGAAACUGCCUGAUGGAGGGGGAUAACUACUGGAAACGGUAGCUAAUACCGCAUACCAUCGGAUGUGCCCAGAUGGUAUUAGCUAGUAGGUGGGGUAACGGCUCACCUAGUCGACUAUCCCUAGCUGGUCUGAGAGGAUGCCCAGCCCAACGUGAACUGAGCAACGGUCCAGACUCCUACGGGAGGCAGCAGUGGGGAAUAGUGCACAAUGGGCGCAAGCCUGAUGCAGCCAUGCCGCGUGUAUGAAGAAGGCCUUCGGGUUGUAAAGUACUUUCAGCGGGGAGGCGUUACACGCAGAAGAAGCACCGGCUAACUCCGUGCCAGCAGCCGCGGUAAUUC